rnacentral:rRNA from 1 species
GACGAACGCUGGCGGCGUGCCUAAUACAUGCAAGUUGAGCGCUGAAGGUUGGUACUUGUACCAACUGGAUGAGCAGCGAACGGGUGAGUAACGCGUGGGGAAUCUGCCUUUGAGCGGGGGACAACAUUUGGAAACGAAUGCUAAUACCGCAUAAAAACUUUAAACACAAGUUUUAAGUUUGAAAGAUGCAAUUGCAUCACUCAAAGAUGAUCCCGCGUUGUAUUAGCUAGUUGGUGAGGUAAAGGCUCACCAAGGCGAUGAUACAUAGCCGACCUGAGAGGGUGGUCGGCCACAUUGGGACUGGGGCACGGCCCAAACUCCUUCGGGAGGCAGCAGUAGGGAAUCUUCGGCAAUGGACGAAAGUCUGACCGAGCAACGCCGCGUGAGUGAAGGAGGUUUUCGGAUCGUAAAACUCUGUUGGUAGAGAAGAACGUUGGUGAGAGUGGAAAGCUCAUCAAGUGACGGUAACUACCCAGAAAGGGACGGCUAACUACGUG